UUCAGGAGUGUUUUGUUUGUUCCUUUGCUUUUCUCUUCUGGCCGCCCAGUGGCCUAUGGAGCUCCUGGGCCAGGGGUCAGAUCAGAUUCUGAGCCGCAGUUGGGACCUAAGCCACAGCUGUGGUGAUGCCAGAUUCUUAACCCACUGUGCCAGGUUGGGGAUGGAACCUGUGUCCCAGUGCUCCCAAGAUGCCAUCCAUCCUGUUGCUCCACAGCAGGAACUCCUUCAGGGCUAUUCACAUGGGACCUGAAGCCCACCUUGUCAGCCCCAACUCUGGGAGCUCCUCAGCCCAGUGUGCAGUAAGCGCUCACUGUUAGCUGGCCGGGAUGGUUUCACGGAGGGGAAGGGGCAAGUCUAGGGAGACCACUUGUCCUUCUGGUUUGGGCCUCUGGCUAAGACGGAGGCCAAAAUUGGGGAGAGAAGAUGUGCUGAGUUUAGGACAGGCUGAACCAUGGUGUGACUGGGACGCCCAGGCCGUGGGGUGUGGGGCUGGCUCCCUGAGGACCCCGGGAUGGGGUAAGAGGGAGAAGAGACGGAGAGGGUGCAGGGGGAGGAGAGCCUGGGGGGAAAGGAGUCUCAUUUUCCAGGGAGCAGGCAACAGGGUCAGACGCCAAGCCUCAGACCCCUCCUGGAUACGAACCAUCCCCUGCCUCAUCAGAGCCUGGGAAGAUUUCCUACUCGUGAGGCUAACGAAUCGCUCAGAACACAACCAUCUCAUUAAGCAAUUAGCUCUGGGAGCGCCAAGGCAAGGAAGUGACCUCACUGGCCGCUCGACAAGACACCGCCCUGCCGCUGGGGAGGAAGAUUGCCGGAAAGCAGGAGGAGCACUGCGUGGAGUUAAGUGGUGCAAUCUCUCUGGGCUUCUGAAAAUAGCAGAUGACCAGGACCAGGCCGGGUGAUUUCUAAAUUACUUCCAGCGCAAAAAAAAAAAAUUCUUAGUGGUCAGACUGCUACCAACUCCACAGGUCACUCCCCUCACACCUGCCCCUGGAGGGCGCAGUCCCUUUAAAAACCAAGGCCUUGCCUUACGCUUGGGCCAAUCACCGUGAACAGAAGUUCUUUAAGGACCAAAGGAGGGAAUUCAGCCGGAGGAGGGCGGGGCAGGGGCGUGCCUUCCAGCCAAUCGGAAUCUUCUUGGCGACUAGGGACUCACGUGCAAAGCUCUGC
rnacentral:lncRNA from 1 species